rnacentral:rRNA from 1 species
UACGAAGGGGGGCUAGCGUUGUUCGGAAUUACUGGGCGUAAAGCGCGCGCAGGCGGUCCUUUUAAGUCAGGGGUGAAAGCCCAGAGCUCAACUCUGGAACUGCCUUUGAAACUAGAGGACUUGGGUACGGGAGAGGUGAGUGGAAUUCCGAGUGUAGAGGUGAAAUUCGUAGAUAUUCGGAAGAACACCAGUGGCGAAGGCGGCUCACUGGCCCGGGUACUGACGCUGAGGUGCGAAAGCGUGGGGGAGCAAACAGG